rnacentral:rRNA from 1 species
GUGGGGAAUCUUGCGCAAUGGGCGAAAGCCUGACGCAGCGACGCCGCGUGGGUGAUGAAGGCCUUCGGGUUGUAAAGCCCUGUGGGGAGGGACGAAUAACGACGGGCUAAUACCCCGCCGGAUGACGGUACCUCCUUAGCAAGCACCGGCUAACUCUGUGCCAGCAGCCGCGGUAAGACAGAGGGUGCAAACGUUGUUCGGAAUUACUGGGCGUAAAGCGCGUGUAGGCGGUUGGGUAAGUCGGAUGUGAAAGCCCCGGGCUCAACCCGGGAAGUGCAUUCGAUACUACUUGGCUAGAGUACUGGAGAGGAUGGUGGAACUCUCGGUGUAGAGGUGAAAUUCGUAGAUAUCGAGAAGAACACCGGCGGCGAAGGCGGCCAUCUGGACAGAUACUGACGCUGAGACGCGAAAGCGUGGGGAGCAAACAGGAUUAGAAACCCGGGUAGUCC